rnacentral:rRNA from 1 species
UGGGGGAUAUUGCCCAAUGUUCGAAAGCCUGAUGCAGCGACGCCGCGUGGGGGAUGAAGGCUUUCGGGUUGUAAACCUCUUUCGCUAUCGAACAAGGCCCGCUUAGGGUGGGUUGAGGGUAGGUGGAGAAGAAGCGCCGGCUAACUACGUGCCAGCAGCCGCGGUAAUACGUAGGGCGCGAGCGUUGUCCGGAAUUAUUGGGCGUAAAGGGCUUGUAGGCGGCUUGUUGCGCCUGCUGUGAAAACGCGGGGCUUAACUUCGCGCGUGCAGUGGGUACGGGCAGGCUUGAGUGUGGUAGGGGUGACUGGAAUUCCAGGUGUAGCGGUGGAAUGCGCAGAUAUCUGGAGGAACACCGAUGGCGAAGGCAGGUCACUGGGCCAUUACUGACGCUGAGGAGCGAAAGCAUGGGUAGCGAACAGG